UUCCUUGUGGUCCAGUGGUUAGGACUCUGUGCUUCCACUGCUGAGAGCACAGGUUCGAUCCUUGUUCAGGGAA
rfam:TPA: Bos taurus chromosome 5, whole genome shotgun sequence.